rnacentral:lncRNA from 1 species
AGAGUUUGAGAAUUCAAAAGAUGAAUUCAGCCUUUCAUUAAUGAACUUCAAUAACAACAUACAAGAAUGGAAAUUAUGGAUUCAGAGAAGAAGGGGAAAGAGAUGAAGAAAAACUGGGAAAGGGAAAUGAGAUUGGCAAUUGCUAAAUCUUCUUACAACCAAAUAUGGAAAAAUGACAAAAGAUGAUUCAUUAAAAAAGUUCCCCACGCUUAUAUCAUUUCCAAAGCUAACUAACUUCCAACUUGACCAACAAGCGUAAGACAUGUGUCCCUCCCAGAAUCUUCAGUUGCAGUGGUCCUCAACUCUUGCAGGAUUUGCAGAUUUCCAGUAAAGGGGUGCUUUUGAAAUCACGCCUUCUUUCAGCUUCUCACUGUCUCUCUCUCCUUGCCUUUGUUUCUAUUGCACGCCUUCCCAUUUCUUGAUGCUCUUGUAAACUAAAAUUGAGUAUGAGUCCCUCCGCUCGAUCACAAAUUUUCGCCUGAUUUUUCCCUCAAGUGACUUGUCUUCACUCUACAGAGUAACUAAUUGGGCAAGAAAAGGCAGAGAGAUUGAUGCAUGAGAUAAAGCAGAGGCGAAGAUAAUGGGGAUUGAAUCAGUCGUUGUGACGCCCCCACUUCUCCCAACGGCGAACCCAAGGGUAUCCGCAGAACGCCUGCCCAACUCUCGCCGGGACUCACUACAAUUCAUGGUUCAAAACUAGGAAUAUUUCAAAUAAUUUCAAUAUAUAUAUUUAAAGUACUCCAAAACAUUUCAUACUUACAAUUAGUUAACCUUCAAGGUUAAAUACAACCCAAUGAAAAAUGUACCAUAGUCAUCUACUAUAAUACAACUUAAAGUCUCCAAAAGGAAACAACUUAGUACUAUUCACGAGCACUCUCGGUCUCGAGCCCUGUUAAGGAAAACAAAAACAUGAAAUGAACUAAACAGCCCAGUGAGGUUCCAAGACACUCUAACAGUUUUACUAAAUCAAGUAAUUUGAGCAUAAUACAUGUAUGAUUCAAGGUUACACAUUGGCACAUUAACAUGAAAUAAUUAUCAAUAUACAGAAAUAAAGAUAUUGAAGGAUACGGUGUUCUAGUGGAACCAUUUCGGUCAACUUCACCUUAUAACUUCAGAUCCCCUCGGUUUGUCUAGCCAUCACCUUAUCCCUCCAGUGGUGAUACUCGAGUAUACCGAAACGGUGUCCCAGAGUUCUAACCUACUCGACCGAGCCCAGUCCUGGCUCAAGCAGGUUAGUAACCAAGGGCAGGAUCCAGUUCAGUUUAGAGCUUACAACAUGUGCAAGUAAUCAAGUAGAUCGGUAAACGGUAAGUAAUCAAAUAGAUCGGUAAAUGGUAAGUAAUCAAAUAAAUCGAUAAAUAGUAAAUAGUUCAAAUAAAUCGGUAAAUGGUAAGUAGUUCAAAUAAAUCGGUAAACGGUAAGUAGUUCACGGUUAACGGUAGAAAUUUGUCAUUUUAGUAGGUCGAGUGAGAUAAAGUACACACUCGUCUUAAAACGAUGGAAAAGUUCAUAAGAGCAAUUAUCGGUAGCACUUAACAGUUAAACACAUAAUGACCAUAGAGUAAACAUGUCGUAAAACUAUUCAAGUCACGUACUCCUAUAUGGAACACUCACCAAUUCAAAACAAGUGAGUAAGUACUCAAACAAGUGUUUAGACGUCCGCUUCGAGUUCCUCUUGAAGGUCCCCUUGAACGCCUGAGCAAAUAAUAAUUAACUUCACUCACAAUCAUGCAUUUACCAAGAAAUGAUGCACACUCAUUUAGACUAAAUCAAAGUCUUAAAAGAGAGCUUCAAUUCUCUCAACUCGAGAUUCAAGAGUGAAGUUUUAAAGUCCGAAGAGAGACUAGCAUCUUCCAUGAAAUCGAGUUCAAAACAUUCAAUCGAUAUCGAGAAAAGAAGUCAAGUUCCCGAAAUUGUAUUUUCUAAGUAAUCGGCUAAUUUCAACUUUGCACAACAAUCUUUGGAAAAUCAAAUCUAGAGUUUGACACGUCAAAAAAUGGAAAAGUUACACCGUUGGAAUCUUGGUUCAAAGUACUAAAAGUUCCUAAAAGACAUUUUUCCAAGAUUAUAAACGAAAGACAUUCAAAUUUCAGCCCAAAGUGGCUGACUUGAACCUAUAAGACAGUUUCAGUCUUAGUUUUCGGCAUAUUUUGGAAAUUCGGCAAAAUUCACAGAAAGUGAACUAGCCUCCGAAAUUCGUAACAGAAUAAGAAAUCCAAACAAGGUUUCAAACAGGAUAAACGGAACUAAAUUCGGAGUUUUUGAACAUUGAUAUAUAAUAGUCUGAAGUCGGCUGGAAUUUGGGCACAAAUAAGAAUUUUUCCAGAUUUGAAAAGCAAACUUUGUAGCAUCAUUGGGAUAUCGAAAGUUUGUUGAAAUAACACCAAAUUUUGUACACUUAAACCUCUAUAUGUGGACUACCCUUGUAUCAAAUUUCAUGCAAAAACUUACGUGGGAAUGUAGUUAACAACACAACUGAAAUUCGUAAAAUGUUUCAAAGCCAAUCUGUCUUCUUGCUUUCCUUUCUUUUCAAAAUAUUUUGCACAAUGAAAUCAGUCCCAAUUCAAUCCAUUUUUGAAACCAAGAUCCUAGAAACAACUAUUAUACAUUUGGUAGGUGAUUGACACUAGAAUUUUCGGAACAACAUGUCUCAAAUCAAAUUAGACCAGUCAGCUAGCAAGAAGGAAGGAUUUUCCAGGUUUCCAGCUUUACCGCAGUUUGAAAAUUGAACCAUAUCUCAUUCAAUACAACUUGAAAUUGAGAAUGGUUGGUGGUAUUGGAAACUAGAUUCAAAAGGAUACAUUUCAUCAGAAGAAGUCAUUUUGAAAAUCAGUUCAUAGGUAGUUCGAAUUUAAGCGACAAGACACAGCUUACCACUGUGAUUCGAACAGAAUAGCAUAACAGAACAGGAAACUUUGGUGAACUACUACGGUUCACUCAGUUCGAACUAAAUGGUGAAUUUUAUACUGUUGGAAAGCUACAAAUGUCUAGUUUCAAAUGCCACAAACGGCACUUGAUUUUGAUGUCUGUACAGAGAGAUAUGUUCAAUUAAAGAGACACUGUUCAUCAGCCCAGAAUACGUUUUCCAGUUUGCCUUUCAUUUCGAAAUUUCAACUUUUACUCAACCAAAUCAAUUGAUUUUUGGUAGAAAAUUUCUACACAUCCUAUACAACAUAUCUACAUCAGAUUCAAGGUCAUUUGAGCAUCAAAAAUUCGAACCAAAGCUUCAAGAAAAACUGGGCAAAUUUUCGGCUAAACUUCCUAUGCAAUUCCUUUGGCUUUUCUUUCACUUUUCCAACAAAUCUCAUCUUGUUUAUCACAUAAUUAAUACAAACAACACUUAUCAUCAUCAUAUCAGUCCUAUAUCAUCAAGAUGGGAUUUCAUAGAGCCCACUCCAACCAUUUAAACCCAACAACAACAAUAACAAUGAAGCUACAAACUUCCUAGCAAAGAUCAACUCACUAAAUCCAAGAUUAGAUGGUUGAAUGAUUACCUCUUCUUCCUUUGAGUGAAAUCAGAAAUUUUACACCUCUAAGACCUCAAGACAAACCGUGAGAUGAUGCUUCCUUCCUAAUCCAAGUGAAUCUCCAAGUGAAGUGGAAGUUGUGUGGUGAAUUUGAGUGAGAAAUGGUAGCACAAAGUGAGGUGAAAUGAAGUGGAGCUCUCCUUCUUCUUCCUUGAAGAAUUUCGGCCAGCAAGAUGAGAGGAGAGAGAGUGUUUAGCUGAUAACUAAAUCUUCUCUUGGAAGCUU